rnacentral:rRNA from 1 species
GUCUUUUAGAUUAUAAUUUAAAGUCUGGCCUGCCCUAUGAAAAAUUAAAUGGCCGCAGUAUUUUGACUGUGCAAAGGUAGCAUAAUAAUUAGUUUUUUAAUUGAAAGCUGGAAUGAAAGGUCGAACGAAAAAAUAUCUGUCUCAAUUUAAUUUAAUUAGAAUUUUAUUUUUUAGUAAAAAAGCUAAAAUAAUUUUUAAAGACGAGAAGACCCUAUAGAGUUUUAUAUUUUAAUAUUAUAUAUUUUAUAGAAUUAUUUUAUGAUUUUAAAUAUUUUAUUGGGGUGAUAAAUAAAUUUAAAUAACUUUAUUAAUUUCUUACAUUAAUAUAUGAUUAAUUGAUCCAUAAAAAUGAUUAAAGAUUAAAUUACCUUAGGGAUAACAGCGUUAUUUUUUUUUAGAGUUCUUAUCGAAAAAAAAGAUUGCGACCUCGAUGUUGGAUUAAAAUUUAUUUAUGGUGUAGAAGCUAUAAUAUUAGGUCUGUUCGACCUUUAAAAUUUUACAUGAUCUGAGUUUAAACCGGUGUGAGCCAGGUUGGUUUCUAUCUUAAAAUAAGUAAAAUAUUUUAGUACGAAAGGACCAAAUAUUUAUAAAAUUUAUUAAAUUUUGAAUAC